UGCAUUUCUAGAGUCUACACUGUUUGUUCCC
rnacentral:piRNA from 1 species